AUCCCAUGAUGAGGACACUUAUGAAGUAAUUCCUUGAAUCUAUCCCAUGCCUCAUACAAAGACACAUCAUCUAAUUGUUAGAAAGUAGUUAUCUCAUUACACAAUUU
rfam:Gossypium arboreum cultivar AKA8401 contig_73883_1, whole genome shotgun sequence.